GACGAACGCUGGCGGCGUGCUUAACACAUGCAAGUCGAACGGUGAAGCGCCUUCCUUUUUGGUGGGUGUGGAUGAGUGGCGAACGGGUGAGUAACACGUGAGUAACCUGCCCCCUUCUUCUGGAUAACCGCAUGAAAGUGUGGCUAAUACGGGAUAUUCUGGGUCUGUCGCAUGAUGGGUCUGGGAAAGAUAUUGUUUCGGUGGGGGAUGGGCUCGCGGCCUAUCAGCUUGUUGGUGGGGUGAUGGCCUACCAAGGCGGUGACGGGUAGCCGGCCUGAGAGGGUGGACGGUCACACUGGGACUGAGACACGGCCCAGACUCCGACGAGAGGCAGCAGUGGGGAAUAGUGCACAAUGGGCGCAAGCAUGAUGCAGCGACGCCGCGGGAGGGAUGGAGGCCGUCGGGUUGUGAACCUCUUUCGCCAGUGAAGCAGGCCUGCCUAGUUUGUGGGUGGGUUGACGGUAGCUGGAGAAGAAGCGCCGGUUAACUACGUG
rnacentral:rRNA from 1 species